rnacentral:rRNA from 1 species
GGCCCGAGUGGUGAUCGUGAUUAUUGGGUCUAAAGGGUCCGUAGCCGGUUUGGUCAGUCCUCCGGGAAAUCUGAUAGCUCAACUAUUAGGCUUUCGGGGGAUACUGCCAGACUUGGAACCGGGAGAGGUAAGAGGUACUACAGGGGUAGGAGUGAAAUCUUGUAAUCCCUGUGGGACCACCUGUGGCGAAGGCGUCUUACCAGAACGGGUUCGACGGUGAGGGACGAAAGCUGGGGGGCACGAACCGGAUUAGAUACCCGGGUAGUCCCAGCCGUAAACGAUGCUCGCUAGGUGUCAGGCAUGGCGCGACCGUGUCUGGUGCCGCAGGGAAGCCGUGAAGCGAGCCACCUGGGAAGUACGGCCGCAAGGCUGAAACUUAAAGGAAUUGGCGGGGGAGCACAACAACGGGUGGAGCCCUGCGGUUUAAUUGGACUCAACGCCGGACAACUCACCGGGGGCGACAGCAAUAUGUAGGCCAAGCUGAAGACUUUGCCUGAAUCGCUGAGAAGAGGUGCAUGG